AAACUGCGUCGUCUCCUCAGUCAUCACCCCUGAGCCGUCUCUCCUCCGUACAUUUCCUCUCCUCCGAAUUCUCUCUCCGCCGCCGUCGUCCUCGCCCCAGCGCCCGCCGCCGCCGCCUCCGCCCUACACCCAGCCCGCGCCGCCGCCUCCCUGGCCCUAGCCCUCGCCCUCGCCCCAGCACGCGCCGCCGCCAUCCUUCACCCAGCCCGUGCCGCCGGAUUACGCCCUCUUCACAGCGCGCCACCGCCCUCAUCUUCCCCCAUAUCAACAGAGCAACCGUCCUCCUGCCCAACGAGACCGAACCACCUACAAGCCCGAGCACCCUCUCCCGAAGAACACCGGCCACGCCCCGAAGUCUGCAUUGAUAUUCUCAACUAUCAUCAAUUUUUUGGCUGGAUUUCUUAUGUUCUUGCAUGCGCUCACUUUUUAUAGUGGUCGUUUACUUUGCCUGUUAGCUUGCCUUACUGUCCACCGGAGCGAUUGACAUGAACUUGUAUUUCUACCAUAAAGAAGAACCAGGUGUUAUGUACCAACUGCAUCAUAUUUUUAACAGUAAUCUGUUAUACUGGAGCAUUUUUUAUAACUCAACUGGAUGUUACUCAUCAGCUGCAUCAUGUUUUUAACAGUAAUUUAUUAUUGUUUGGCAUUUUCUAUCCACUCUGCAUCCUGUUGUUCACUUAGUAAUUGAGAAAGCAGCAUUAUGUUUUUCCUAAUUUGCUAUGCAAUUUUUGGCGAAUCAUUUGUACAGGCCGGUUUGUUCUUUUACGGUCUUGCUUUAUAAUUAACUAGGCAUAUCAUUUAGAGGCAUCUUAACCAGUCUGUAAAACUUAAGCUUGAGAUACUUGUGUCAGUCUAGAUCCUUCACAAUAUGCAUGAAUAAUGAUUUUAUAGAUAGAAAGUGUUGCAGGUAGCAGAGGAACAGAGUGCAGAAAUAAUGAUUUUUCCAAAAGGUGCUCCAUGUAAGGAGAUAUUGAAGCCAUUCAAUGAGAAAUCUAGGAAAACCAAUGUGGACGGGAAAAGGAUCAGGACUUGUUCGAAUGUGGCAAACCAAAUCACGACAGGCGAACAUAUCCUGUCCUGAAGCCACCACCUGCGACAUGAUGAAAUUGAGUGGUGUCCGGCUGCUUAUCUGGAGUUAGGCUAUGGCUUUGGAAGAGGAUCCAGCAGAACCACAUGCUCCUGAGAUGGCUUCCGCCGCACAAGCUAGAUGGAUUAGUCGUGCCAUUUGCGAUGCAGUUGUAUUUUUUAGAAUAAAUUGUGCUAAGAAAGCCAAAAAUGAUGUCUUUUGUCUAAUAUGCCAAAUGUUUGGCAUAUCUGCCAUGCUUGGUAGUGUAGCAUGCAAAAAUGAUACAAGAGAUUGUAAUGUGCCAUACAUUGAGCUUUUAUUUAUGUUUUUGUGGUACUAUAACUCCAUUUCUGUAA